AGCAGCAAAUCCACGCGCGGGAUCGAUGCCGCGGCCGGGGCCGAGGCCUUACGAGUGCAUCCGGCGGGCGUGGCACAGCGAAUCCCACCAGGCUCUUCGCGGGAGCCUCACGCAGGAGAUUUUCAGGAUCGUGACGGAAUUCCAUAGGCCCGACACCCGCGGCAAAAAGGAAUGGCAGGAAAAGCUUCCCAUCGUGGUGCUACGGGCGGAAGAGAUUCUCUACUCGAAAGCUCGCACCGAGGCCGAGUACGCCGACGCUUCCACGCUCAAGGAGCGCCUGGACGACGCCGUCAACACCAUGAUCCGGAGAACCGACGAGAACCGCGACCAGGAGGCCGCGGGCGAUGGCCCCUUCAUGGAGCCCUGUGUGGAAGCUGCAUUGUCGCUGGGAUGCGCGCCCAAGAUGAAUCCCCGCGGCCAGAGGAGCUGCCCGCCCAGGAUCAGCAAUAGCUCCGCGGGAGCGUCCCUGCGAAGAACAAGCUCCGCCACGAACCCUAUCUCCUCGUCUCCAUCCUCCUCCUCCUCCUCCUCCUCCUCUUCCUCCUCCUCUUCCUCCUCCACGUCCUGCUGCUCCUCAUCGAUUUCUUCCUCCUCCGCCGCCGCUUCCAUCGCCACCUCUUCCGCCGCCGCCACCACCAGCUGCAUUACCACCUCGUCCAAUCAAUCCCAGACGCUGGCAUUCCUGAGCUUGGAGUCUUCCUCGCCACCGCCAUGGCCCAAAUCUCGAGCUCAAGCUCAUCCAUCGCCGCCAUCCUCCAUACCCGAAGUACCACCACCACCACCACCACCACCUUCCAAAAGCCGGCCUCCUUGUUUUGCCGCCGCCACGACCACCGCCACCGCCACCAAUCCAAAUCCCAAUGUCAACUUCUCCAUAAUCUCUGGAAUCGAAGCCCAGAGGUUCCAGAAGCAGCAUCAGCAGCAGCAGCAGCAGCAGAGCCUUUGUGGCUUCAGUCCGCACUUUGCACCUCCACUUCUUCCUCCAAUGGGGAGCUUCAGGUUGCAGCCUCAUGAAGAAUUGCCAACAUUUCCACCUGCUCCAACUUUUCCACCUGCCCCAAAGGAUCAGAGCUACCCAUGCCUGCACCACCUCCAGCAGCACCACAUAUUUCACCCACCGCCAUCACCAUUUCAGAGCCCCAACAGGGUUUAUCAUCCACAGCAACAAGUUCAGAAUGCUGCCUCUCCUCCCGUCCACCAGCCAAGCCAGAAGGCUUCACUCCCGCCAAUGUUUCCCAUAUGUUUGGAGCCGGCACCAGCAGCUGUGAUGCAACCAAGAUUUCAGCCCAGGGUGCGCAACCAACAAGAAGGGAGCCACCCUGACCUGGACUUGUGCCUUGGACCGCCCAAGGUUUCGAGUUCCAGACCUAAAUCGCAUCUGGCUGACCUUGCUGGCAGCGAUGGCAGCCUCGCCAGUGGCGGUGGCAACACCACGACGACGCUGAAAAAGGCAAAGAUUGUCCUUUAAUCCAGUGGGUUUUUGAAAGAGCUAAAACCCCCCCGACUUUUCACUCGCUUUCUUUUGAUCUUGAAUGGAACAACAACAUGGGCUGACUGACACGUGGUACACCCAGGUGUCAAGGACAGGGUGAUUUCAUAAAGAGGGAUUUGCACCUAGGGUUUGAAGCGUUUGAUCGUUUCCGAGUAGUGAUGCAGGGUGUACAGGAUCAAGUCUCGAGGCAGAUGCAAUCGCCGGAUCCUCGCGUGGGCGUGGAGGAGGCCCAACAGGAAUUGAAAGAGAAGUAUGAGAACGCGAGUGAGGGGUUAACGCAGAAGAAGGAUUUGGGUGGGGACGAGGGUGCCAAGGCGAUGCUCAGGGACGAAUACAAGGAUGCCAAGAAGAGCAUUGCGAGGCACGAUGGCGUCGCAGAGGCCACUGACGCAGUGGAGCUCGCGGGCGCAGGGUCACACCAGAAAAAGGAUUGAAAACAAGUGGGACUUCCACCCAUAAUAAAUUUUAUUUAAAUUUCUCAA